AGAAACGUCAAAAGAACAGCAUUCGAAGAGGGCGGAGAAGGAUUGAGCGAGAGCGAGAGAAAUGGCUUCGGAGCGUUGCUGCUUGUUCCUCGAGAUCCUCAUCUCGAUCAUCCUCCCUCCCCUUGGCGUAUUCCUUCACUACGGCUGCUGCAGCCUGGAAUUCUGCAUCUGUUUGCUGCUGACGAUUUUGGGGUACAUCCCUGGGAUCAUCUAUGCCAUCUACGUGCUCGUGGCGGUCGAUCACCAACCCUACCGGACGAGCUACUAUGAGCCCCUUGCUUAGGGAUGUUCCUUUGACGAUGGAGUAUUGCUCAAAAGAAUUGUGAGUUCCAGGCUUGUGUGAUUUUCAAAACUCUUGCAAAUGCUUAGUAUUAUUGAUGUCAAUCAUGUGUAUGGUCUUUAUUAUUAUCUAUUGGUAAUAUGUGAAACUUUCUUGUGAAAAUUUCAGUGGUUUUCAAAUGAAAUUAUGUGGAAUCCAUUAUAUUUUCUUGACA